rnacentral:rRNA from 1 species
AACGAACGCUGGCGGCAUGCCUAACACAUGCAAGUCGAACGAGACCUUCGGGUCUAGUGGCGCACGGGUGCGUAACGCGUGGGAACCUGCCCUUAGGUUCGGAAUAACUCCCCGAAAGGGGUGCUAAUACCGGAUAAUGUCUUCGGACCAAAGAUUUAUCGCCUUUGGAUGGGCCCGCGUUGGAUUAGCUAGUUGGUAGGGUAAAAGCCUACCAAGGCGACGAUCCAUAGCUGGCCUGAGAGGAUGAUCAGCCACACUGGGACUGAGACACGGCCCAGACUCCUACGGGAGGCAGCAGUGGGGAAUAUUGGACAAUGGGCGAAAGCCUGAUCCAGCAAUGCCGCGUGAGUGAUGAAGGCCUUAGGGUUGUAAAGCUCUUUUACCCGGGAUGAUAAUGACAGUACCGGGAGAAUAAGCUCCGGCUAACCCCGUG